GAUCGAGAUGACGGCAAUCACCUUUUCGGACUCACCUGAAAUGAAGAGAAUACUCAUUGCUGAUCACUU
ensembl:snoRNA